rnacentral:rRNA from 1 species
AGAGUUUGAUCAUGGCUCAGAGCGAACGUUAGCGGCAGGCCUAACACAUGCAAGUCGCACGAGAAUCCGGCUUCGGCCGGUAGUAAAGUGGCGGACGGGUGAGUAACACGUGGAUAAUCUGCCCUUCAGCGGGGGAUAACUGUCCGAAAGGAUAGCUAAUACCGCAUACGUCAGCGAGGCUUUCGGGUCUUGCUGGGAAAGAUGGCCUCUUCAUGAAAGCUAUCACUGAAGGAUGAGUCCGCGUCCCAUCAGCUAGUUGGCGGGGUAAUGGCCCACCAAGGCUAAGACGGGUAGCUGGUCUGAGAGGAUGAUCAGCCACACUGGAACUGAGACACGGUCCAGACUCCUACGGGAGGCAGCAGUGGGGAAUAUUGGGCAAUGGGCGCAAGCCUGACCCAGCCAUGCCGCGUGAGUGAUGAAGGCCUUCGGGUCGUAAAGCUCUGUGGGGAGGGAAGAAACCCGGCGUAGCUAAUACCUACGCCGAUUGACGGUACCUCCUUAGCAAGCACCGGCUAACUCCGUGCCAGCAGCCGCGGUA